rnacentral:rRNA from 1 species
UUAGAGGAAGUAAAAGUCGUAACAAGGUUUCCGUAGGUGAACCUGCGGAAGGAUCAUUACAUUCAGUAGCUUGCUACUGCUAGGGGGGUCUGUUAGUCUGUAUAGUAUUGCUACUGACGAGCAGCAUGAUCCUCUUACUCAACCCUUGUCUCUAUGUACCUUCGUUUCCUCAGCAGAUACAAUCCGCUGGCUGGACAAUUCUACAACAUUUGAAUAUUUAAUCAGCGUCUGAGAAACUUAAUAAUUACAACUUUCAACAACGGAUCUCUUGGUUCUGGCAUCGAUGAAGAACGCAGCGAAAUGCGAUAAGUAGUGUGAAUUGCAGAAUUCAGUGAAUCAUCGAAUCUUUGAACGCACAUUGCGCCCCUUGGUAUUCCAUGGGGCAUGCCUGUUCGAGCGUCAUUUGUACCUUCAAGCUCUGCUUGGUGUUGGGUGUUUGUCCAUUCCUAUGCCUCUGGACUCACCUCAAAGCAAUUGGCAGCCAGUGUUUUGGUAUAGAAGCGCAGCACAUUGUGCAAUUCUGGCCUCAAACACCAGCUUCCAGUAAGCUCUUUUGCUUUUGACCUCGGAUCAGGUAGGGAUACCCGCUGAACUUAAGCAUAUC